AGGGGUAAAAUCCGGAGAUAUAACCAAGAAUACCCAUUGCGAAGGCGAUCGGCGGGAACUCAACUGACGCUAAGGCGCGAAAGCGUGGGGAGCAAACAGGAUUAGAAACCCUGGUAGUCCACGCCCUAAACGAUGUACACUAGUUGUUGGGGUGCUAGUCAUCUCAGUAAUGCAGCUAACGGAUUAAGUGUACCGCCUGGGGUGUACGGUCGCAAGAUUAAAACUCAAAGGAAUAGACGGG
rnacentral:rRNA from 1 species